GCGGAGGCCUAGUGGUAAGGUCUCGGCUUUGGGGUCCGAGGGUUCCAGGUUCGAAACCUUGUUCCACU